AUUGAACGCUGGCGGCAGGCUUAACACAUGCAAGUCGAACGAGUGGCGGACGGGUGAGUAAUGCUUGGGAAUCUAGCUUAUGGAGGGGGAUAACUACGGGAAACUGUAGCUAAUACCGCAUACCAUAGGAUGAGCCCAAGUGGGAUUAGGUAGUUGGUGGGGUAAAGGCUCACCAAGCCGACGAUCCCUAGCUGGUCUGAGAGGAUGACCAGCCACACUGGAACUGAGACACGGUCCAGACUCCUACGGGAGGCAGCAGUGGGGAAUAUUGCGCAAUGGGGGCAACCUGACGCAGCCAUGCCGCGUGAAUGAAGAAGGCCUUCGGGUUGUAAAGUUCUUUCGGUGGCGAGGCGUUAACUACAGAAGAAGCACCGGCUAACUCCGUGCCAGCAGCCGCGGUAAUAC
rnacentral:rRNA from 1 species